UUUGGCUGUGGCCUGUUUGCACAGGCUUCCUGUGUGGCAGUUGCUGACCUUUGGCAGCCAAACCACCGGCCCAAGGGGACAUUCUUCCUUCACUAACUCAGACCUGAGGGUCAAAGAAUGAGACAGGCUGAGCCCAGGUGAUGACGGAGGGGGGAGUUGACCUGGGAAACAUGUUAGAAUCUGAGCCUGGCCAGAGAGGGAGACAGGCUCUGAAAGCUGUUGGCAACAGGCUCAAAAGGGUGUAAGUGAAAGACCGAGAUUCGUCAAGCAAGGCCAACGUGGAGGAAUGGCUGGACAUGAUCCAUGGAGGGCCACCCAGCAGUUUGGAUGAAGAGUCUGGAUUAGAAACUUGGAAUUUUCAUGUCAUCCUCCCAAACUCUGCAAACCUGGUCCACGAAACCAAAGUUUUCUAAGACUUUGAAGCCCAAAGUGGGAGGAGGAUUAUCCAGAAGGACCCGGGAAUGAGCAUUCUCUGUAAUGAGCAAAAGCAAUGAGAGUGUGGGAUAUGGGACAUCGUACAACUCAGAAGAUGAUCCGAGGACAUACUGAGCCGUGGUCAAAGGAGCAGGAAUGACAGAGCAGCACUGUAUGCUAUCUAUAGUUUCUUGCAUCUGUGCAUUUGUCUAAGUUAACAAUGGCUUGCACACUCAUCUUAUACUGUGUCUGUUGACCUCAUAAAAUCGUAUUAAA